CAACACUCCCGUUUUUUUCUAAUGUCCACCUGCCAUCGGGUUUUAUCUUAGAGAUGUUUCUAAGAUGAGCCUCUUGCUCGCCUUCCUUUAACGUCACCGAUCCAUUGACAACAUCACCUGUUAAUCGAUCAAACACGUGGAGACAUGUAGCGGCCGGCGGAGAUGUUCCUCGCGCGAGCCCGUAAUACAAGAAGAGUUUACAUCACACGCCCACCAUGUGACCAUGCGCAGACAACAAACCAACUGCUUUGCAAAUAAAACGGGUUUAAACACCAGUGGUGACAUCAUCUGGUCCGAGGCCUAAGACACUUCUGGAAUGUUCCGUCAGUCUAUGCCACCCGAACCGGUUCGAACCAGCUAUUAAUGGGUCCGUUGGUUCACCGCUAUGCUCCUUUAUGUGUUUUAGCUCUAAUGUGUUUUUUUAAAUGUUUUUAUUUCAUAUGAUUGAGUUUAAUAGCAACUAGCAGUAGCGGUUUGUUUGUUUAUAGGCUAACCUGAAAGUAAUGAGAAUUCGGUAUUUCAUCAUUAUUUUGUUUUGUAUAUCGUGUAUUUAGGUGUUUAACUGUUCAGCGAUGAUGAAACAUUGAAUAAAUGUGUUUAACAUAA